rnacentral:tRNA from 1 species
AUCAUUUUGGCGGAGAUACGCGCGAGGUUUAGGACUUUGAUACGGUAGCAGCCAGGUGAUA